CAAUUCCGACAGGGGAGCGCGCCAGCGCUGAGAGUGCGGCCGGCCACGCCACGCCGCAGACCCUCGAACCUGAUCCGGGUAAUGCCGGCGAAGGGAGUUCGGCCAUGACACCGG
rfam:Streptomyces cattleya DSM 46488, complete genome.